rnacentral:piRNA from 1 species
UUCAGAACAAAGGUACGGUUGCAAGAUGG